rnacentral:lncRNA from 1 species
UGCGCUGGCUCAUCUGUCGGCGACGGCAAGGUGGCGGUCGUUGGGGAAUCUGCGACAUAAUCUUUCAAAAACCCAGUCCUUACCAGCUCAUCUAGCUGGUAGCCCAACGACAGGCAAUUGUCAAUUUGGUGCCCGAAAGCCUCGUGGAAUUCGCACCAAGAGUCUUUACGGGGCCCUAACACCUUGUCGGUCUUCGCCGGUCGCCUCAGCCUCUCAGCUAUGUUGGGCACGGCAAUCAAAU